ACCUACGGGGCGCAGCAGUGAGGAAUAUUGGUCCAUGGUCGGGAGACUGAACCAGCCAAGCCGCGUGAGGGAUGAAGGUACAGAGUAUCGUAAACCUCUUUUGUCAGGGAACAAAGGCGGGGACGUGUCCCCGGAUGAGUGUACCUGAAGAAAAAGCAUCGGCUAACUCCGUGCCAGCAGCCGCGGUAAUACGGAGGAUGCGAGCGUUAUCCGGAUUUAUUGGGUUUAAAGGGUGCGCAGGCGGUCUGUUAAGUCAGCGGUCAAAGCCCGGGGCUCAACCCCGGCCCGCCGGUGAAACUGGCAGU
rnacentral:rRNA from 1 species